CAAGGAGUAGUUUAGCUUAGAAUCCUGGCUUUGGGAGCCAGGGGCGGGGGUUAAAAUCCCCCUUCUUUGA
rnacentral:tRNA from 1 species